rnacentral:lncRNA from 1 species
GAGGGUGCGUAUGAGGAACAGGAUUGAGGGAGUGACUAGAAGGCGCAGCGGCGGGAGUCCGGACAACGGCCCGACUUUCGGCUCCAGGGGUGCACAGGGGACCCACACACCAAAUACUCUGUCUCGCUCAGUAACUGAAAUCUCUCGCGGCGCGGCCGCCUGGGGGCUCUCAGAAGCUCUGCGCCUGUGCCAGGGUUGGGUGCGCUUGGAGGGAUGAGAAAAAAGGACCAGGGCAGUGUGAUGGUUGGACUGUUGCAAGAGCCCUAUUCUGGAAUAAGUAUCUGGCCUUGGAGUUUCACAGCUACAACGUCGCGGACCUCGCUCUUGGUGUUGCUUGAGCUUUGCAAGUGUGUGGAGGACACCCUCCGGGCAUCUGGGCUUCAGCACUGAGUCUGUGAGGGGGUGCCUAACACGUAAUAAGUAAAUGCAGUCAGAUAAUCACUUCUAUGGCUUCAAACCGGAGCUCCCCGGCUGGGUGGGGCCCAGACUCCGCAUGGAAGCGAAAUCCUGGCCUUCUCCGGUGUCCUCCAGCUUUGCGCUUUGAGACACCUCGGGAUCAAGCACGACCUGUCUUUUUUCUGAGCUCUUGCUCCAAAUCCAUAGGCCCAAAUGGCCACUGCCUAGCCCGCUGGAGCCAGGAUUGUGGGGUCACUGAAGUGGCUAAGGGGGAAAGGUCCGCCGGCAUGACCCCAGGUCCUAUGACCCCAAAUGCCAGGUUCAUCGCCUGUUGAAGUCUCCCUCCCGGAGCAUGAAUCGUGGAGAACCCCGGAGGCAAGGCAGUGUUGGCUGUCCCGGCAGUGCCUCGCCCAGCAGUCACGGCGUUGUCCGAGGUCGAGGAUAUGGAAUAGAGCCCACCUCAGCGUGCUCGGUGUCCAGAGCUGCAGCACCCGUGGCUCCCACCCCGGGUUCCCGAAAGCCCCCCUAUUUGUGCACACCUUCCGCAGGCCACCUGAAUCGACGGGAUUUCUCUGCGGUUUGCGCCUCCAGGAUCCGAAUAAAUGCAGCUCGCAGGCAUCCGGCAGGAAACGGCUCCCGGUUCGAGUGUAUGCAGACGCAUCGGCCCAGCGCGGGACGCGAGGUGGCUCCUGGUGAUCUUGCGGCUGCAGGUCCGGCCUCCAAAGGAGACUGGGCUGUGAGCGCCCUCAGGCCGGGGGCGGCCCCUUGCUGCCCGGCAGUGCCCGGCAGCCCCCAUCCCUGGGGGGGGGUGUGCUUCGGGAACCCGCCGGGCGGAGUCCGCCCUCGGCAAAAACUGAAAGCAAAUGCCGAGGCAAAAGAAGCCCGAACUUUCUUCGACGCAACUUUGCCACAACGAUCCGGUGGCGACUUAGGCAGGACCGCGCGCUGGUGCGUGCGCGCGCGCAAGGUGGGGGCGCCGCCUGAAGGAGGCUUGGGGCGGCCGAGCCUGGCCCGAGGCGAAACCCUAGGGAAGGCGCCUCCCCUUCCUUAUUUCUCGCCAACCCCUCGGCCUCCGUCGGUAAAAAAGUAGUUUCCAGUGGGCAGCGGACGCCCAGUAUGUGUUGGUGGGGAUCGCACCAGGGAGAAGGAAGCUUUGUAAAAGUUGCAGAAAGAGCUCUGCCCAGAAGCGUCCGCCCAGCAGGGCUCGCAGGGAAGGUCGGGGGACCAGCUCACCUUCCCCGGGGCGGGAUGCCUAGCAAUCGGCUUGGGGAACCCCUGGCCCAGUCCUCUCCGCUCACCUCGAACCCCCGCGUAAAUAACCCCCGGCGGGCUGCGCUGGAAACUUAGAGGCGCGGCGCCGCGGUUGGCGGGCGAGGCCCGGACGUUGAGCCGGCCCGCAAGGCCGCUUCUGGGCGCGCUCGGGCCCGGCCCUAAGACAGGCUUGCACGGGGGUGAGAGGACGAAGGUGGUUUCAGCUCCCGCCCGGCUGCCUAGACCGUCACCGCCGACCUCCCAGCUCCCUGGAGCGGGCGCUUCCCCCCUGGGAGCCGCGGCCUUGGGGGGGCCGGCGAGGGCGCAAAGUGCGCGCGCGGGCCGGCGCGGGGGUGGGGGGCGGCUGCCGGUCUCUCCGCGGGGCCUGUCGCCGGGCUGGCCGCGGCGGGUGAGUGAUGAGGGCAGAGAAGGGCGCCCAUAAAUCGCGGGUGUCAGGGCGAAAAACUCUCUUUAUUGUCUGCGUGAUGGAUGGGCCCGGGGACGAGACACCAAAUACUUCGUAUCGCCUUUAAAUGGGAACACAUUUUCCGCGGCCAUAAUUCAUGUUUUUUAAAUAGAAAGUUUGAAAUGUUGCCUAUAUUUCACCGGCCCUGACAUAUUUAUGAAUCGCUCCCUGCAUGCAAAUAUCAUUAUUUAAAGCGCCGGGGAGAGCUGGGGGGGGGGGUGGAGGGGAGGAGGCACGGCCCCCGUGGCGUGGAGGUGGUGAACCGGGGAAAUGCGAGUGGAGAGGGGGGUGCAUCUCCUUAAAGUGCGGACAAUGAGGCGCAGGGGAAAGCCUUAUCCGGAAGCCGAGCGCACCGGGGGCUCCCCUCCCGCGGCUGGAUCCAGCGGGGCGGCUCCGGGAAGUUUGAGCGGCUCGGGACCGAGGACCCGCCCCUGCCCCCUGCGGGAAGACCCCGGGGGGGGGGGCUUUUGCGUCCCUCUCCGAGGCCCUGAUCCGAGCCAAAGCCACCUUUUCCAAGGAGAAAAUGUUUUUUGUUUUUUUUUUAAUAAAAGAAUUUAACAAACGCA